CAGUAGCCGCGGUAAUACGUAGGGUGCGAGCGUUAAUCGGAAUUACUGGGCGUAAAGCGUGCGCAGGCGGUUCGUUAAGACAGAUAUGAAAUCCCCGGACUUAACCUGGGAACUGCAUUUGUGACUGGCGAGCUAGAGUAUGGCAGAGGGGGGUAGAAUUCCACGUGUAGCAGUGAAAUGCGUAGAGAUGUGGAGGAAUACCGAUGGCGGAGGCAGCCCCCUGGGCCAAUACUGACGCUCAUGCACGGAAGCGUGGGGAGCAAACAGGAUUAGAUACCCCAGUAGUCCCUGUCUCUUAUAC
rnacentral:rRNA from 1 species